UACGAAGGGGGCUAGCGUUGCUCGGAAUCACUGGGCGUAAAGCGCACGUAGGCGGAUUGCUAAGUCAGGGGUGAAAUCCUGGAGCUCAACUCCAGAACUGCCUUUGAUACUGGCGAUCUCGAGUCCGGGAGAGGUGAGUGGAACUGCGAGUGUAGAGGUGAAAUUCGUAGAUAUUCGCAAGAACACCAGAGGCGAAGGCGGUUACCUGGACAGUUACUGACGCUCAGGCACGAAAGCAUGGGGAGCAAACGGGG
rnacentral:rRNA from 1 species